rnacentral:rRNA from 1 species
CCGGACCGGCGCACGGUGAGUAACGCGUAUGCAACUUACCUAUCAGAGGGGGAUAACCCGGCGAAAGUCGGACUAAUACCGCAUGAAGCAGGGGCCCCGCAUGGGGAUAUUUGCUAAAGAUUCAUCGCUGAUAGAUAGGCAUGCGUUCCAUUAGGCAGUUGGCGGGGUAACGGCCCACCAAACCGACGAUGGAUAGGGGUUCUGAGAGGAAGGUCCCCCACAUUGGAACUGAGACACGGUCCAA